AUGAUAUAUCAACAUAAACUAAACAAAAUAUAAUGCUAUUAAUAAUAAUAUUAACAAUAAUAAUAAAAAAUACAUAAAACCACAAUGAUAAAACACACACAAUGCAAGUCAAGUAUCACACAUCAUAGACACUCGCAACUAACUACCGAUCGACAAUCAAUCUACACUACAGAAAAGAUCCACGCUAGCAAAUCCCAGCAUAUCCCAAAAAGACCUAUGUCUAUCUUCCAUAGCAUACACAAGAUGUCACAGUUUAUAUUCUGUGCUCAGCGCACCAUCUCCAUGCAGACGGAAGCAUUGUAGGGGGG
rnacentral:lncRNA from 1 species